rnacentral:rRNA from 1 species
GGUUAAGCGAACAAGCGUACACGGUGGAUGCCCUGGCAGUCAGAGGCGAUGAAGGACGUGCUAAUCUGCGAAAAGCGCCGGUAAGGUGAUAUGAACCGUUAUAACCGGCGAUGUCCGAAUGGGGAAACCCGGUGCACUUCGGUGCAUCAUCGUUAGCUGAAUACAUAGGCUAACGAAGCGAACCGGGGGAACUGAAACAUCUAAGUACCCCGAGGAAAAGAAAUCAACCGAGAUUCCCCCAGUAGCGGCGAGCGAACGGGGAACAGCCCAGAGCCUGAAUCAGCUUGUGUGUCAGUGGAACGGUCUGGAAAGGCCGGCGAUACAGGGUGACAGCCCCGUACACGAAGGCACACAGGCUGUGAGCUCGAUGAGUAGGGCGGGACACGUGAUAUCCUGUCUGAAGAUGGGGGGACCAUCCUCCAAGGCUAAAUACUCCUGACUGACCGAUAGUGAACCAGUACCGUGAGGGAAAGGCGAAAAGAACCCCGGCGAGGGGAGUGAAACAGAACCUGAAACCGUGUACGUACAAGCAGUGGGAGCCUUCGUAAGAGGGUGACUGCGUACCUUUUGUAUAAUGGGUCAGCGACUUAUAUUCUGUAGCAAGGUUAACCGUAUAGGGGAGCCGAAGGGAAACCGAGUCUUAAUUGGGCGUUAAGUUGCAGGGUAUAGACCCGAAACCCGGUGAUCUAGCCAUGGGCAGGUUGAAGGUUGGGUAACACUAACUGGAGGACCGAACCGACUAAUGUUGAAAAAUUAGCGGAUGACCUGUGGCUGGGGGUGAAAGGCCAAUCAAACCGGGAGAUAGCUGGUUCUCCCCGAAAGCUAUUUAGGUAGCGCCUCGUGAACUCAUCUCCGGGGGUAGAGCACUGUUUCGGCUAGGGGGCCAUCCCGGCUUACCAACCCGAUGCAAACUGCGAAUACCGGAGAAUGUUAUCACGGGAGACACACGGCGGGUGCUAACGUCCGUCGUGAAGAGGGAAACAACCCAGACCGCCAGCUAAGGUCCCAAAGUCAUGGUUAAGUGGGAAACGAUGUGGGAAGGCCCAGACAGCCAGGAUGUUGGCUUAGAAGCAGCCAUCAUUUAAAGAAAGCGUAAUAGCUCACUGGUCGAGUCGGCCUGCGCGGAAGAUGUAACGGGGCUAAACCAUGCACCGAAGCUGCGGCAGCGACGCUUAGGCGUUGUUGGGUAGGGGAGCGUUCUGUAAGCCUGCGAAGGUGUGCUGUGAGGCAUGCUGGAGGUAUCAGAAGUGCGAAUGCUGACAUAAGUAACGAUAAAGCGGGUGAAAAGCCCGCUCGCCGGAAGACCAAGGGUUCCUGUCCAACGUUAAUCGGGGCAGGGUGAGUCGACCCCUAAGGCGAGGCCGAAAGGCGUAGUCGAUGGGAAACAGGUUAAUAUUCCUGUACUUGGUGUUACUGCGAAGGGGGGACGGAGAAGGCUAUGUCAGCCGGGCGACGGUCGUCCCGGUUUAAGCGUGUAGGCUGACUUUCCAGGCAAAUCCGGAAGGUUAAGGCUGAGGCGUGAUGACGAGGCACCACGGUGCUGAAGUGACAAAUGCCCUGCUUCCAGGAAAAGCCUCUAAGCAUCAGGUAACAUCAAAUCGUACCCCAAACCGACACAGGUGGUCAGGUAGAGAAUACCAAGGCGCUUGAGAGAACUCGGGUGAAGGAACUAGGCAAAAUGGUGCCGUAACUUCGGGAGAAGGCACGCUGACAUGUAGGUGAAGCCCCUGCGGGUGGAGCUGAAGUCAGUCGAAGAUACCAGCUGGCUGCAACUGUUUAUUAAAAACACAGCACUGUGCAAACACGAAAGUGGACGUAUACGGUGUGACGCCUGCCCGGUGCCGGAAGGUUAAUUGAUGGGGUUAUCGCAAGAGAAGCUCCUGAUCGAAGCCCCGGUAAACGGCGGCCGUAACUAUAACGGUCCUAAGGUAGCGAAAUUCCUUGUCGGGUAAGUUCCGACCUGCACGAAUGGCGUAAUGAUGGCCAGGCUGUCUCCACCCGAGACUCAGUGAAAUUGAACUCGCUGUGAAGAUGCAGUGUACCCGCGGCAAGACGGAAAGACCCCGUGAACCUUUACUACAGCUUGACACUGAACAUUGAGCCUUGAUGUGUAGGAUAGGUGGGAGGCUUUGAAGCGUGGACGCCAGUCUGCGUGGAGCCAACCUUGAAAUACCACCCUUUAAUGUUUGAUGUUCUAACCUGGCGCCGUGAUCCGGCGUGGGGACAGUGUCUGGUGGGUAGUUUGACUGGGGCGGUCUCCUCCCAAAGUGUAACGGAGGAGCACGAAGGUCAGCUAAUCCUGGUCGGACAUCAGGAGGUUAGUGCAAUGGCAUAAGCUGGCUUGACUGCGAGAGUGACGGCUCGAGCAGGUGCGAAAGCAGGUCAUAGUGAUCCGGUGGUUCUGUAUGGAAGGGCCAUCGCUCAACGGAUAAAAGGUACUCCGGGGAUAACAGGCUGAUACCGCCCAAGAGUUCAUAUCGACGGCGGUGUUUGGCACCUCGAUGUCGGCUCAUCACAUCCUGGGGCUGAAGUAGGUCCCAAGGGUAUGGCUGUUCGCCAUUUAAAGUGGUACGCGAGCUGGGUUUAGAACGUCGUGAGACAGUUCGGUCCCUAUCUGCCGUGGGCGCUGGAGAAUUGAGGGGGGCUGCUCCCAGUACGAGAGGACCGGAGUGGACGCAUCACUGGUGUUCGGGUUGUCAUGCCAAUGGCACUGCCCGGUAGCUAAAUGCGGAAGAGAUAAGUGCUGAAAGCAUCUAAGCACGAAACUUGCCCCGAGAUGAGUUCUCCCUGAGACUAUAAGUCUCCUGAAGGAACGUUGAAGACGACGACGUUGAUAGGCCGGGUGUGUAAGCGCAGCGAUGCGUUGAGCUAACCGGUACUAAUGAACCGUGAGGCUUAACCUU